rnacentral:rRNA from 1 species
UACGUAGGGUGCAAGCGUUAAUCGGAAUUACUGGGCGUAAAGCGUGCGCAGGCGGUGAUGUAAGACAGAUGUGAAAUCCCCGGGCUUAACCUGGGAACUGCAUUUGUGACUGCAUCGCUGGAGUGCGGCAGAGGGGGGAUGGAAUUCCGCGUGUAGCAGUGAAAUGCGUAGAUAUGCGGAGGAACACCGAUGGCGAAGGCAAUCCCCUGGGCCUGCACUGACGCUCAUGCACGAAAGCGUGGGUAGCAAACAGG